rnacentral:rRNA from 1 species
UACGUAGGGGGCGAGCGUUGUCCGGAUUUAUUGGGCGUAAAGAGCGUGUAGGCGGCCAGGUAGGUCUGCUGUGAAAACUCGAGGCUCAACCUCGAGACGUCGGCGGAAACCAUCUGGCUAGAGUCCGGAAGAGGAGAGUGGAAUUCCUGGUGUAGCGGUGAAAUGCGCAGAUAUCAGGAGGAACACCAAUGGCGAAGGCAGCACUCUGGGCCGGUACUGACGCUGAGGAGCGAAAGCGUGGGGAGCGAACAGG